rnacentral:sRNA from 1 species
CCCCACUCCACAUCUGCCUCAUAGGGCUUCCUUGCCUUCCUUCAUCUGGCCUUAUUGAGGGCAGCCUCUUAGCUCAGCCAUAGUCUUAGGUUUUGGGUCUCUGUGGUGGGAUUAGGCUGGGCAGAGCUUUGGGAGAAAGGAGCAGGAGAUUCAGCCUUUGCUUCUGUCCUCUAAGAGCUCCCAGACCACCUGGAGAGAUAAGCAUCGUAAUUAGACUGUAUGUGGUGACAUAUAAACAGAGGCUAAAUUGUGUGUUAGAAGCUCUGAGAUAUAUAUAAGUUCAGAGGAGAGGAAAAUGGCUAAGGGUAAUAAUCAGGGAAAAUGUCAGAAAUGAGACUUGAAGGAUAGGACUAUUAAGAAAAAAAUGUUCUUUCAAUUUCUGAGUUUUUGUUCUUUUUUUUUUCUUUUUUAGAAAGUUUGAGGCAUGAGCCACCAUGCCUGGCCCUGUUUUCCAUCUUUCAAGGUACUAGAAUAUUCAGUGCCAUUUUCCCAGCCUUAUAGUUCUAGUCUGGGCAUAAAAAACCUUCUCUAAGCACCCUGCAUAGAACCACAUUUUAGAGGCCGGGCGUGGUGGCUCACGCCUGUAAUCCCAGCACUUGGGAGGCCAAGGCAGGCGCAUCACAGGGUCAGGAGUUUGACACCAGCCUGGCCAACAUGGUGAAACCCCGUCUCUACUAAAAAUACAAAAAUUAGCUGGGAGUGGUGGUGGGCACCUGUAAUCCCAGCUACUCGGGAAGCUGAGGCAGGAGAAUCG